rnacentral:misc_RNA from 1 species
UGCGACAAGGAUAACAUGUAUAUAUAAAGAUGUAGUGUGUUAUACGAGGUUAAGUUACGCUGAAUAUUGUACACAAACCGAUUGGAAGUUUUGCCUGGCCAAAAUGUUUAUCAAACCAUUUAAAAUUAAAACCAAUUAUCAGCUAAAGGGGACCGAAAGGAAAAAAUUAUGCGAGGAGGUAUCAGCAGCAUAUCCAAGUUUAUCAGAUGAAGAGAUUCAGUCAUUAUUGCCUAAAAAAGAAUUUAUCAGCAUUAUGAAAAUAAUGACAUAUAGUGGACACAUAGGCAAAGUAUACUGUGUCGCUAAGAUACCUAUGUUCUUCCAACUGGAUUCAUAUAGUGCUGUGUUAUUUCCCACAAUUUACACGUUGUGGCACCAUCCAGAUUUGUUAAACAUCUUUACUACACAUGUGUUAGUUGUAUCCAAAUUAGCUAGUGGUGCAGAUCUUAUGCUACCUGGAUUGGUUCUGAAAGAGCCAGUGAAUCUGUACAGUUUCGGUAAAUUGCCAAAGGGUACUCCAAUGUCAAUCAACACUGAGGAAAACAAGGCUGCAGUUGCUGUCGGUGUUACCGCACUUUCCAGUGAGGACAUGUAUAUGGCUGCUGGGCGUGGAAAGUGCGUAGAAAUUUUUCACGUCAUUGGCGAUACGCUCUGUCAAUUAGGCAAGCCACCUGUGAGACCUGAUUUGGGGCCAGUAAACGUUAACAGUUCUGCAAAUACAUCUGAAGACACCGAAUCGAAUAUCCAACAGAUGAUUGCGGAUCAAACUGAAACGUUGCCGACUAAAUUAAAUCAAUUAGACAUCGACGAUGAUCCCAGUGAUGUCGCCAAGGAUGAAAACGUUUCCGAGGAACAUAUAGAAGAAACAGAAAAUAUAGAAACAGAUCUACAAGAUUUAAAUACGAUCGAACCGGAAGUAAUUGAUCCAGUGCAGGAAAUGGAUAGAUUACUAGAGUACUGCUUUUUGAAAGCGUGCAAGAUGACGAUAAAAUUGAGCGAUCUGCCGAUGUUGUCAUCCAACUUCUUCAAAAAUCAUCUGUUAGCUGCCUGUCCGCCGGGUAAAAACGUCGAUGUGAAAAAGUCUCGGUACAAAAAGCUAUCGGUUUUCCUAGCGGAAAUGAAGGCGAAAGGAAUAAUCAAUACAUCCAUCACGAAAGGUGUCGAGACCUUGCUGUCGAUUAAGUUUGAUCAUCCGCUUGUGAGGAAGCUAGUCGUUACCGAGGAACCGCUUGCAGCCGAACCCAAGUUAGUUUCCAACAGCGCCGUCGUAUCGGAAUGUUACAGAGUGACCGCCGAUGUUCUACCUGUUCUGUCGAAAUUCGGCUAUGAAAAGGGCGACGUAAUGAAAAGAGUCGACAUCAGAAAGUGUUUUACUGAGUACGCGAAAGUGGAGGAUCUGCAAAGGGGAAAAACGUUAAAGCUGAACCCCCAACUGGCAGGAAUCAUGCGAACCAAGGCAGAUCAAGAGACAGUAACGAUGGAAGACGGCAUAAACAAAUUCAUCGGUCGCAUGACUCAUAUGCACGAGGUCACCCUCGCGGGGAAUACUUUAUUACACACGGGAAAAUUGGAACCGAUCGAUAUGAGAGUAACGGUGCGGUCAGGAGGAAAAAAGGUGACAUUGGUAAACAACUUGGAAACGUUCGGAAUCAAUCCGAAAGAGUUCAGUAAAGAGUGUCAAAGCAUCGGCGCAAGUGCGACAAUCACCGACGAUCCUGGCAAAAAGACGCCUAGUGUUCUUGUUCAAGGGAAUCAAAUUUUAUACGUGUACAAAUUACUCACUGAGAAAUACCAGAUUAAAAAGAAUUAUAUAAGGGGCUUAGAAUUUGCCCCAAAAAAGAAAAAAUAGAUCUUAACACGAAAAAAAUAGCACAAAUUCUUACAGAUUCCACGAAGAAAUCUAGAUUUUCUCUUUUGAUGUCGUCACAAGAACGCUGCCAUUAAUUAAUAUAUCGAAACAUAUUUUCUAGUGGAUUCGUUAAGGCGAUACUUUCUAUAGAUAUGUUCAUUAGAGAAUUUACAUUUAUCUUCGACCAGAAAACUGUGAAUGAUUAUCAAAUAAAAGAAACUUGCCAGCAAUA